UACGAAGGGGGCAAGCGUUGUUCGGAAUUACUGGGCGUAAAGGGCGCGUAGGCGGCUCUGGAAGUCAGACGUGAAAGCCCCGGGCUUAACCUGGGAAUUGCGUUUGAUACUCCGGGGCUUGAGUUCGGGAGAGGAGAGUGGAAUUCCCAGUGUAGAGGUGAAAUUCGUAGAUAUUGGGAAGAACAUCAGUGGCGAAGGCGGCUCUCUGGACCGAUACUGACGCUGAGGCGCGAAAGCGUGGGGAGCAAACAGG
rnacentral:rRNA from 1 species